UCUGGAACUCUCUCCUGCAGAUCUCUUUCAAAAAAUCCAUUAUGGGUUCCAUUGUUUUAAAUGAGAUGUUUUAUUUCCCAGAAGACUAAAAGACAUAUGACACAGUUUUGCAACUCUCAUGUUUGAAAGUUGCUGGUUUUGUCCAGAUGCUGAACACCUGUAACCUCAGAUCAUUUCCAUCUACUUGCAUUCUCAGUCUCAUCCUGUAUGAGGCAGCUGUACUGGUCUGCCAUACUCUGCCAGCAAAUGUGAUCCCACACAUGAUCCCAGAGCAUUAUUUCACCACAUUCAUGAGGACAGUGAGCUAGAAAACCUAUUCUUUUGCCUUUACUGGAUAAUUUUGUGUCCUGAUAAAGUACCACAGAGAUUACUCCUGCCUAAUGAGUACCAUACAGAAUUGUAUUGAAUGUUGAACUUCAAAUAAGCAUGGUACUAGCAGAUCUUGGCAGAUCUGAUGUGGUCAUAUUAAUCAUCGUCCUGUAGAGCUUGUGUGUGCACAGAAGAUGGGGUGCCCUUGAAAAACCCAUAAGAACUGAAGGAAUAUUAUGAAAAGGCAAUAUUUUGCUGGGCCAAAUUUCAAAGUGUGAGCAAUCUCCUACUGGAUCUGCCAAAUCCUUAAGUGGGCAGGGGCAAGGAAGAGGAAAUGAAGACAUGUCAUAACGUGGUGUUUGGCUGCCAAGUCUGUCUUUCACAAUAUGAAUCCAUAUGACAAAUGUCCCUAUUGUAGCCAACUCACAUGGAUGGAAAGGUUGGAUGCACUACAGUGACAUACUUCUGAUAGCUGUCUGCAGUGUCUUCCACAAGUUGAAGUAUAU